ACACGCGCCGCGCCCAGCCCGGAGCGCGCAGGGGAGAGCCGGGCCUGCGGGGUGCGGCGGGCCAGGCCGGGGUGCAGAGCUUGGCUGUCUUCCGCGGAGAGCGAGAUCCCGUUUCAAAAUCGCAAAACUGUGGGGGAGGAUGAAGGCGAGACUUUCCCAAACCAUCCUGGGCACCAAAGAAGGUAGCGCCACUCAGUCUUCUUUGUUGUUCUCAAUGUAUCAAGCAAAACUAUUUCUAAGCCCACAUAUUCGUGUGUCAUAGUUCAGGGACACAGGUCAGCGACAAACUUCCAUGCUAUUACACCCAAAGAGAUUCUUUAGAGUGCAAAAUCACUCUGCACUCUGAAAGAUACCAGCCUUCCUCUUCUCAAAAUCUUUCGUGGAAUCAUAAUUUCUGUAGAAAUCCGCCUAUGCCUUGCCUGGUUCAGCCACAGCAAACUUACAGAGAGCUGCAACCCCAGGGAUACAACGAAUGCUUCAACAACGUGACGCGGCAGAAGCCUGGCCAGAAGGCCACACACCUGAGAGUUCGUCGAAGGGCUGGAAGCCGUGAGAGUGACAGUCCUCGGUAGGUAUCUCAGCCUCAGCACCGACAUGGCCACUCUUGUCCUGACCUCUUCUAUCGUCCAGUUCACUGUUAGAAUUUCAUUAAGCCUUUUCCCAAUCACCGGGUCAGGUAUUAAGUGUUCAUUUUUUAUGAGAAACUGUCAAACUGGUUUCCAAAGUGGCUGUACAAUUUUGAAUUUACUUCAGCAUGUGUGAGUUAUACAAUUGACCUUUGAACAAUGCGGGGGGUUAGGGUUGCUGAACCCUUUCACAUCU
rnacentral:lncRNA from 10 species